rnacentral:lncRNA from 1 species
GAGGCCCGAGCUGGUGAUGAAAUCCAUCGUACCAGUUGUUAUGGCUGGUGUGUUGGGUAUCUACGGUUUGAUUAUUGCUGUUAUCAUCAGUACUGGUAUUAACCCCAAGGCUAAGUCUUACUACCUCUUCGAUGGUUACGCUCACCUCUCCUCCGGCCUUGCUUGUGGUCUUGCUGGUCUCUCCGCUGGUAUGGCCAUUGGGAUCGUCGGUGAUGCCGGUGUC